UGACUAUUCGUCUUAUUUGAACUUUUUAUGAUUAAUAUUUUUAUUAUUAUUAGAUAAUAAAAUAUGAGUAGUACUUUACGUGUGACUAAUUUUUUCGAGUUUUUUUUUAUAAAAUAUUCAAAUAAGGCAGAUGAUCA
rnacentral:pre_miRNA from 1 species